rnacentral:lncRNA from 1 species
CUAUGUCAUCUCUUUAAACCCCGAGAAACAAGACACUUAGGUGGCAUGAACGACUCCAAUGCUGGAGAGAGAAGUGUGAAAAGAUACCAAAAAUAAAGGGUAUUAUUGUAAGUUAAACUCCAGAGAAAAAAAAGAGAGCAAAUGAUGUCAUCUUUCACAUUUAUAAUUUUUUGUUCUUCUUGAAAUGUUUAAAAAUUGUUGUCUCAAUAUAAAAUUAAAUAUUAAAAGUACACUCUAUGUGUAAAUUUUCCUUUUCUAAAGUCUCCUACCCAAGUAUAAAUAUAAUUGUUCUAGCUUUUGUACUAGUAAACCUCAACUAAUGAUGGGAAGCUCCUUCUUCCAGGCAAAAGAUGUAGAUGCCCAAUCUACACAUACUACAUCAUCUCUUUGAACCCUGAGAAACAAGGCGCUUAGCUAGCACGAACAACUCCACUGCUAGAGAGAGAAGUGUGAAAAGAUACAAAAAAAUAAAGGGUAUUUUUGUAAGUUAAACUCCACAGAAAAAAAGCAAAUGAUGUCAUCUUUCAUAUUUAUAAUUUUUUGUCUCUCCUUGAAAUAUUUAAAAAUUGUUGUCUUAGUAUAAAAUUAAAUAUUAAAAGUACACUCUAUGUGUAAUUUUUCCUUGAAAUUACUUGAUAUUUUUAUUUUUAAUGAGUUUUAUAAUUUUUCAAUCUUGCUCUUUGCCUAUAGCAUACUAUAAAAAUAAAUAAAACUUAAAAUUUUAAAUUUAUAUAGAGUAAUACUAUAAUAAUACAUAUUUCGUAUGCAAUAUAUACAUAUACAUUAUGGCU